CGGACGGGUGAGUAAUGUCUGGGAAACUGCCUGAUGAGGGGGAUAACUACUGGAAACGGUAGCGAAUACCGCAUAACGUCGCAAGACCAAAGAGGGGGACCUUCGGGCCUCUUGCCAUCGGAUGUGCCCAGAUGGGAUUAGCUAGUAGGUGGGGUAACGGCUCACCUAGGCGACGAUCCCUAGCUGGUCUGAGAGGAUGACCAGCCACACUGGAACUGAGACACGGUCCAG
rnacentral:rRNA from 1 species